UAAAUUUUUGUCUUAGAGUGGUAUUUAGACCGAUUGUUGGUAGUGUUCUUUAUAAAAACGAUAAAGAACACUACCAACGACCGGUCUAAAUGCCACUUAUCGUAUAGGAGAAGCG
rnacentral:precursor_RNA from 10 species